rnacentral:rRNA from 1 species
UACAGAGGGUGCAAGCGUUGUUCGGAUUCAUUGGGCGUAAAGGGUGCGUAGGUGGCGGGGUAAGUCAGGUGUGAAAUCUCGGAGCUCAACUCCGAAACUGCACUUGAUACUGCCUUGCUUGAGUACUGGAGAGGAGAUUGGAAUUUACGGUGUAGCAGUGAAAUGCGUAGAUAUCGUAAGGAAGACCAGUGGCGAAGGCGAAUCUCUGGACAGUUACUGACACUGAGGCACGAAGGCCAGGGGAGCAAACGGG